GUGUGUAUGUGGUUUUAUUUUUCCUCUAACUGAUCCUUUUCAGGCUACUAGGGUACUUUACUGGGAAAAGAGUGGGAGGUCAGAUGUGAAAGGGUGGGUAUACAGGCGGGUUUGUAUGUAGAUGUAAAAUGUUCUAUCUCAUUGGAGAGUGUUCAAGUGCAGAAGUGAUUCUCUUUCAGAGCUCCACAGAAGCAAGAUAGCAGCACUCAAAGUUUACAAAUAUCCCAGAAUACCUGGCAGUCCCCCUGGGCUUUCAAGGUCAAGUCUUCAGUGAGCACCUGCGAAAGAGAUAAACUUUCCCAACAAAGCUCUCCGAGAGCAGAGAGAGAUUCAUUCUAAAAGCUAAAAAGCAGAUUUUGCCCACAUUCUCCACCAAGAAAUGUUGACGGUUUACGGGCUGGUAUGGCCCAGUUCUGUGACUGGCCGGGCAGAGGGAUCUGCAGAUCCACACUUCUGGAAAGGGGAAACAGGGAACCCCAAAAUAAUUAAAAACAGUGGCAACAAUCUGAGGAGAAACAAACUCAUUUACUAAAUAUGGUAUUGGAAUGCAACACACUAUAAUACAAUAUACUUAGAACUGAAGCUAAUAAAUCAAAUGUAAUGAGAGAAAGAGUGUCUGAGAACUGAAGGCCUCUCCAUACGCUGAGGUGAGAUGUGCAGUCAGGCGAGCAGCAUGGAGGAGAGCUUAAGGAAAAAGGGGACAUCAGGUGACUUUGCCAGAGGUUAUAUCUCCUCUCUGACUGCAAAGCUCCCUGGAGAAUGUAGUUCUUGUCUUCCAGACAGGUGCCUGGAACUGGAGCGUUAACACAAUAACUUCCAGUGCACUACAUGAUGUUAUGAUGUGGAAUACCAGUAACAAUCACAAAAAAUCAUAAAACCAUGACAAUAUUUCAUUAAGAUCUUUAGAGAAACAGAAUCAAAUAAUAGCUAUAUAUCAGCAGAAGUUUACCUUUAGAGUCUUAUGUUAUGAGCGUAUAUAUGGACAGUGUAAUAUAUACAUAGUGAUUUAGAGGAAUUUCAGAACAGCUCUGUACUGUAGGUUGAAGUCUAAAUUGACUUAAUUUCCACAUUUCUAGAAUAACAAGUGUUCUUAUUUGCAAAGGUUUAAAAUAGAGAGGCUCCUUACAGUGUUAAAAAAGAUGUGAAGGACCUUUAGUGUGAUUAAAAUCGGUAUCAAUAUGUACUCUAAUGUGAGACUAGCUUGUUAUAUUCCACAGCAUCAUAUAUUUUGAUGCUAAGAAUGCAUUGAAAGGAGGGCAACAAAUACAGUAAAAAGUUUAGAGGCUAUAACUUAUGAGGAAUGCUUGAAGAUAUUUGGUUAGUUCACCUUACAGAAGAAGAGACCAAGGGAAGACAUCAUGGUCUACAACUUCUUCCUUGUGGGGGGUGGAGAGGGAGGCACUGAUCUCUCUGGUGAAAGCAAUAGGACUAGAGGGAGUAACUUAGGGUGUACUGAGGAAAUUCACACUGAGUGUUAGGAAGCUUCUUCACUAGAAGGGUGGUCAAGUGCUGGAACAGGCUUUCCAGAGAAGUGAUCGCAGCACCAGCAAUGUCAGUGUUCAAGAACAAUCUGGACAAUGCUUUGAGAUCACAGAAUGGCAGGGUUUGGAAGGGACCUGUUGUGAUCACCUAGUUGAUCCCCUGCUAAAGCAACUUCCUUAGAGAGGGCUGCACAGGAAAGUGUCCAGGAAGGUCAUGAAUAUCUCCAGAAAAGGAGACUUCGCUACUUCUAUGGACAACCUGUUCCAGUGCUCUGUUACCCCCAAAGCAAAGGAGUUCUUCCUCAUGUUUAGAUGUGUUCCAGUUUGUGCCCUUUUCCCUUUGUCCUAUUCCUUGGCACCAGUGAAAAGAGCCUGGCUCCAUCCUUUUCACACUUGCCCAUAUUUAUUGGUGUAGAUACCCUCUCAGUUUUCUCUUUUCCAGGCUCAACAGUCCCAGAUCUUUCAGCCUUUCCUCAUAAGGGAGGUGCUUAAUCAUCUUUGUUGCCCUCUGCUGGACUCUUUCUUGUAGUCCUGUCUUUCUUGAAUUGAUGAGCCGGGAACUGGACACAGAACCCCAGAUUUGGCCUCAGCAGGGCAAUGUGGAGGGGGAAGAGAACCUCCUAUGUUAAAUGGUUUAACUGUUAGGUUGCCCUGUGUAGAGUCAGAAGUUGUACUCAGUGAUGCUAAUGGAUCCCUUCCAUCUCAGUAUAUUCAAUGGUUCUCUAAUUCCUGUUACGAGUUUACUAAUUUUCUUCCAAACACAAAUUUUUUCUAUAUUAAUAACAAUGCAUUGUAAUGCAAAGUUAGAGUGAACAAUUUAUGUUUAACAAGCUCCUUCUUCUCAAUUUUGAACAAACUAUGAUUUUUUAAAGCAUUAUUUUGUAUAUAUAUUUUUUCAGACUAUUACAAGUAGUGGUGUUAGCACAUGCUAACCUGUUUCUCAGGUCUUUUCAUUCCCUUUGUCUACCCUUUUUUCUUCCUCUCAACUUUUUUUGUUGUUGUUUUUAAAAAGAAAAUACACAGAAAUUCCCAAGGAAAGACAAUUGCUGUAGUGGCAGAUAGAAUAUGCAUUAAGCUAUAAACCUAUUAAACAGAAUAGUGAAUAAAAUGUUUUUUGAAGUAUCUUGUGAUACGUUAUUGGUUUCUCUUUAUCCUCUCUUAU
ensembl:lncRNA